AGUUUGAUCCUGGCUCAGGACGAACGCUGGCGGCGUGCCUAACACAUGCAAGUCGAACGGGACUUAAUGGAAUGCGACUUCGGUCAAAGGAAGUUAAGUUUAGUGGCGAACGGGUGAGUAACGCGUGAGGAACCUGCCUUUCAGUGGGGGACAACAGUUGGAAACGACUGCUAAUACCGCAUAACAUAUUCGGACCGCAUGAUCUGAAUAUCAAAGCUUUAUGUGCUGAAAGAUGGCCUCGCGUCUGAUUAGCUAGUUGGUGGGGUAACGGCCCACCAAGGCGACGAUCAGUAGCCGGUCUGAGAGGAUGAACGGCCACAUUGGGACUGAGAUACGGCCCAGACUCCUACGGGAGGCAGCAGUGGGGAAUAUUGGGCAAUGGGGGAAACCCUGACCCAGCAACGCCGCGUGAAGGAAGAAGGCCUUCGGGUUGUAAACUUCUUUUACCAGGGACGAAGGACGUGACGGUACCUGGAGAAAAAGCAACGGCUAACUACGUGCCAGCAGCCGCGGUAAUACGUAGGUUGCAAGCGUUGUCCGGAUUUACUGGGUGUAAAGGGCGUGUAGGCGGAGCUGCAAGUCAGAAGUGAAAUGCCAUGGCUCAACCAUGGAGCUGCUUUUGAAACUACUGUUCUUGAGUAUCGGAGAGGAAAGCGGAAUUCCUAGUGUAGCGGUGAAAUGCGUAGAUAUUAGGAGGAACACCAGUGGCGAAGGCGGCUUUCUGGACGACAACUGACGCUGAGGCGCGAAAGUGUGGGGAGCAAACAGGAUUAGAUACCCUGGUAGUCCACACCGUAAACGAUGGAUACUAGGUGUAGGAGGUAUCGAUCCCUUCUGUGCCGCAGUUAACACAAUAAGUAUCCCGCCUGGGGAGUACGCACGCAAGUGUGAAACUCAAAGGAAUUGACGGGGGCCCGCACAAGCAGUGGAGUAUGUGGUUUAAUUCGAAGCAACGCGAAGAACCUUACCAGGAUUUGACAUCCUACUAACGAAGUAGAGAUACAUUAGGUGCCCUUCGGGGAAAGUAGAGACAGGUGGUGCAUGGUUGUCGUCAGCUCGUGUCGUGAGAUGUUGGGUUAAGUCCCGCAACGAGCGCAACCCUUAUCGUUAGUUGCUACGCAAGAGCACUCUAGCGAGACUGCCGUUGACAAAACGGAGGAAGGUGGGGACGACGUCAAAUCAUCAUGCCCCUUAUGUCCUGGGCUACACACGUAAUACAAUGACGGUUAACAAAGGGAUGCGAAACUGCGAGGUGGAGCGAACCCCCAAAAGCCGUCCCAGUUCGGAUCGCAGGCUGCAACCCGCCUGCGUGAAGUCGGAAUCGCUAGUAAUCGCGGAUCAGCAUGCCGCGGUGUAUACGUUCCCGGGCCUUGUACACACCGCCCGUCACACCAUGAGAGUCGGGAACACCCGAAGUCCGUAAUCUAACCUUCUAGGAGGACGCGGCCGAAGGUGGGUUCGAUAAUUGGGGUGAAGUCGUAACAAGGUAACCGU
rnacentral:rRNA from 1 species